GACUCUCGGCAACGGAUAUCUCGGCUCUCGCAUCGAUGAAGGACGUAGCGAAAUGCGAUACCUGGUGUGAAUUGCAGAAUCCCGCGAACCAUCGAGUCUUUGAACGCAAGUUGCGCCCGAGGCCACUCGGCCGAGGGCACGCCUGCUUGGGCGUCA
rnacentral:rRNA from 1 species